CGUAGGGUGCGAGCGUUAAUCGGAAUUACUGGGCGUAAAGCGUGCGCAGGCGGUCGUGCAAGACAGAUGUGAAAUCCCCGGGCUCAACCUGGGAACUGCAUUUGUGACUGCACGGCUUGAGUACGGUAGAGGAGGAUGGAAUUCCGCGUGUAGCAGUGAAAUGCGUAGAUAUGCGGAGGAACACCGAUGGCGAAGGCAGUCCCCUGGGCCUGUACUGACGCUCAUGCACGAAAGCGUGGGGAGCAA
rnacentral:rRNA from 1 species